GAGCCUGCGGCCCAUUAGUUAGUUGGUGGGGUAACGGCCUACCAAGGCAGCGAUGGGUAGCCGGCCUGAGAGGGUGAUCGGCCACACUGGGACUGAGACACGGCCCAGACUCCUACGGGAGGCAGCAGCUAAGAAUCUUCCGCAAUGGGCGAAAGCCUGACGGAGCGACGCCGCGUGGGUGAUGAAGGCGGAAACGUUGUAAAGCCCUUUUCUGGAAGUGACAUGAACCGAGGAAUAAGCCACGGCUAAUUACGUGCCAGCAGCCGCGGUAACACGUAAGUGGCAAGCGUUGUUCGGAAUUAUUGGGCGUAAAGGGCGUGUAGGCGGCCUUGUAAGCCUGGUGUGAAAGCCCGCAGCUUAACUGCGGAGACGCGCUGGGAACUACAAGGCUGGAGUCUAAGAGGGGAGCUGGAAUUCCAGGUGUAGGGGUGAAAUCUGUAGAU
rnacentral:rRNA from 1 species